rnacentral:rRNA from 1 species
CUGCUGCCUUCCGUAGGAGUUUGGGCCGUGUCUCAGUCCCAAUGUGGCCGUCCACCCUCUCAGGCCGGCUACUGAUCGUCGCCUUGGUGGGCCGUUACCCCGCCAACAAGCUAAUCAGACGCGGGUCCAUCUUACACCACCGGAGUUUUUCACACAAAUCCAUGCGGCUUCGUGCGCUUAUGCGGUAUUAGCACCUAUUUCUAAGUGUUAUCCCCCAGUGUAAGGCGGUACCGUACCGCGUACUCUACCGUCCGUCCCGACCUAACGAAUUUUAA